UACGUAGGUGGCAAGCGUUGUCCGGAUUUAUUGGGCGUAAAGCGCGCGCAGGCGGCUAUGUAAGUCUGGUGUUAAAGCCCGGAGCUCAACUCCGGUUCGCAUCGGAAACUGUGUAGCUUGAGUGCAGAAGAGGAAAGCGGUAUUCCACGUGUAGCGGUGAAAUGCGUAGAGAUGCGGAGGAACACCAGUGGCGAAAGCGGCUUUCUGGUCCUUAACUGACGCUGAGGCGCGAAAGCAUGGGGAGCGAACGGG
rnacentral:rRNA from 1 species